CCUACGGGAGGCAGCAGUGAGGAAUAUUGGACAAUGGGCGCAAGCCUGAUCCAGCCAUGCCGCGUGCAGGAUGACGGUCCUAUGGAUUGUAAACUGCUUUUGCACAGGAAGAAACAACUCUACGUGUAGAGUCUUGACGGUACUGUAAGAAUAAGGAUCGGCUAACUCCGUGCCAGCAGCCGCGGUAAUACGGAGGAUCCAAGCGUUAUCCGGAAUCAUUGGGUUUAAAGGGUCCGUAGGCGGCUUUAUAAGUCAGUGGUGAAAUCUCCCCGCUCAACGGGGAAACGGCCAUUGAUACUGUAAGGCUUGAAUUAUUAGGAAGUAACUAGAAUAUGUAGUGUAGCGGUGAAAUGCUUAGAGAUUACAUGGAAUACCAAUUGCGAAGGCAGGUUACUACUAAUGGAUUGACGCUGAUGGACGAAAGCGUGGGUAGCGAACAG
rnacentral:rRNA from 1 species